UACGUAGGGGCAAGCGUUGUCCGGAUUCAUUGGGCGUAAAGGGUGCGUAGGUGGCGCUGUAAGUCGGGUGUGAAAUUUCGGAGCUUAACUCCGAAACUGCAUUCGAUACUGCGGUGCUUGAGGACUGGAGAGGAGACUGGAAUUCAUGGUGUAGCAGUGAAAUGCGUAGAGAUCAUGAGGAAGACCAGUGGCGAAGGCGGGUCUCUGGACAGUUCCUGACACUGAGGCACGAAGGCCAGGGGAGCAAACGGG
rnacentral:rRNA from 1 species